GCUAUCCACAGAUGUCUUUGGAU
rnacentral:snRNA from 1 species